rnacentral:rRNA from 1 species
CCUAAGGUAGCGAAAUUCCUUGUCAGGUAAGUUCUGACCCGCACGAAUGGCGUAAUGAUUUGGGCACUGUCUCAACAGCCCGCCCGGCGAAAUUGUAGUACUGGUGAAGAUGCCAGUUACCCGCAACUAGACGGAAAGACCCCAUGGAGCUUUACUGCAGCUUAAUACUGAAAUUCGGUAGUACAUGUACAGGAUAGGUGGGAGACUGAGAAAUACAGGCGUCAGCUUGUAUGGAGUCGCUGUUGGGAUACCACUCUUGUACUGCUGGGUUUCUAACCUGCGGCCGUGAAUCCGGUCGGGGGACACUGUUAGGCGGGCAGUUUGACUGGGGCGGUCGCCUCCAAAAGAGUAACGGAGGCGCUCAAAGGUUGGCUCAGCACGGACGGAAAUCGUGCAAUGAGUGUAAACGUAUAAGCCAGCCUAACUGCGAGACCGACGGGUCGAGCAGUAACGAAAGUUGGAGUUAGUGAUCCGGUGGUAUGUGAGUGGAAAUGCCAUCGCUCAACGGAUAAAAGUUACCCUGGGGAUAACAGGCUGAUCUCCCCCAAGAGUCCACAUCGACGGGGAGGUUUGGCACCUCGAUGUCGGCUCAUCGCAUCCUGGGGCUGAAUUCGGUCCCAAGGGUUUGGCUGUUCGCCAAUUAAAGCGGCACGCGAGCUGGGUUCAGAACGUCGUGAGACAGUUCGGUCCCUAUCUGUUGCGGGCGCAGGAGAUUUGAAGGGAGCUGUCCUUAGUACGAGAGGACCGGGAUGGACAGACCUCUGGUGCACCAGUUGUCCUGCCAAGGGCACAGCUGGGUAGCUACGUCUGGACGAGAUAAACGCUGAAAGCAUCUAAGCGUGAAACUCCCCCUAAGAUGAGAUCUCUCAUCCUUUAAGGAGUAAGGACCCAGAAAGACGAUCUGGUUGAUAGGCCGAAGGUGGAAGCGCAGUAAUGUGUGGAGCUGAUCGGUACUAAUAGUCCGAGGGCUUGACCUA